CCUACGGGAGGCAGCAGUGGGGAAUUUUGGACAAUGGGGGAAACCCUGAUCCAGCAAUGCCGCGUGUGCGAAGAAGGCCUUCGGGUUGUAAAGCACUUUUAUUCGGAGAGAAAUCCCUUGGGCUAAUACCCUGAGGGUCUGACGGUACCGGAUGAAUAAGCGCCGGCUAACUACGUGCCAGCAGCCGCGGUAAUACGUAGGGCGCGAGCGUUAAUCGGAAUUACUGGGCGUAAAGCGUGCGCAGGCGGUUUUGUAAGACAGAUGUGAAAGCCCCGGGCUCAACCUGGGAAUUGCAUUUGUGACUGCAAGGCUAGAGUGUGUCAGAGGGAGGUGGAAUUCCGCGUGUAGCAGUGAAAUGCGUAGAGAUGCGGAGGAACACCGAUGGCGAAGGCAGCCUCCUGGGAUAACACUGACGCUCAUGCACGAAAGCGUGGGGAGCAAACAGGAUUAGAUACCCUGGUAGUCCACGCCCUAAACGAUGUCAACUAGUUGUCGGGAAUUAAAUUUCUUGGUAACGCAGCUAACGCGUGAAGUUGACCGCCUGGGGAGUACGGCCGCAAGGUUAAAACCNCGAAAUGAAUUGACGG
rnacentral:rRNA from 1 species